rnacentral:lncRNA from 1 species
UGACUGUUUUAGGAACUAUUACUGCAUAAGAAAUUAAGCAAAAUUUUGUGGCUCAAGCAACCAUUUUGUUAUGCUCAUGGAUUCCGUAGGGUCAGGAAUUCAGACAGGGCACAAACGUGGCCAGCUUAUCUCUGUUCCACAAUGCCUGUGGCCUCAGCAGGGAAGACGCAACAGCUAGAGGCUGGAACCAUGUGGAGGCUCAUUCCCUCGUGCCUGGUGCCUCGGCUGGGAUGCGUGGAAGCCUGGACUCAGCUGCGCCAGUCCGGCAGGGUGCCUGCACGUGCCUUCUCCAUAUGGCCUUGGCGUCCCUGAGCACGGCAGUCUCAGGGUAGUCGGACUUACCUGGCACAGGGCUCCAAAGGGAAGUGUUGCAGUGAUCAAGGGGAAGCUACUUCAGCCUUCAGAGGUUAGGAGCGUCUUUCCCAGCCCUGUUCUUCUGUCUUGGAUGUAUCUGAAGGCAAGUUGUAAGUCAGACUUGGGACUCAUUUUGCUGGUUUUGCCAAGUGGCAUUUUCUCUGACCGUUCAUCACUUUAGAAGUGUGCUUACUUUCCUGAGUUUUCAUUUUCUUCUAUCAUGUCUAGCUCACAGAGCAAAUACCAACCAAAAAGAGUAACUUGAGGGAUGUGGAGAGAGACUUUCUUUGCACUUUACUAAGUGAGGUUGAUUUUUUGUCACUGAGCAUCAGGCACAGGCCUGGGAGGCCAACAGCCUCAUUCAAAUCCCAGAUCCAGCCUUUGUUUACCAGCUGUCUGACCUUGAACCCACAAGGGAACUUCUCUGUGCCUCUGAUUCGUCGUGGGGAAAACGGUGGUAUCCAGAGUGGCUGGCUGCCAGCUCACAUUGAUGACUCCGGGGCAGUGCCUGGCCUUCAUCUGGUCCUUGCUGCUCCAGCCUUUGCCCUGUUAAUUGAAGGAAUGCUGCCAUAACCACUUCCUGGAGGUAUAGCUGGCAUUUACUCCCCUAACAGUUUACAGAGAAGCCCUUUUAUGUUUUCAGUCUCUUCCUCUGCUUUCUGUCCUUCCUGACCCACCUCACUCAGCGUGGUGUGAUCUUAAUUGUGUGCGUUUGCACAGGUGUAAUUUUGGAUUACAUGUCUCCUCAAAGCCUGAUUGCCGCCCCCGCCCCCCACCUCUACCAGGAUGUGCAGUUUUCUCAGAACCCACUCCCAGCCCAGCCCAACUGCAGCUUUAUUGUGUAAACAUUUCAUGGUGGGCAUCCCUUCCUGAC